rnacentral:misc_RNA from 1 species
CAAGAAACGAGGCUACAUGCCCCGCUCCUUACCUUGCCUACUGUACUAUCUGUUGCUUCCUGGCGGCGGACUGCCUGCCGCCAGGGACAUUGUAAAGCCCUGUAUAAGCAUUAAAACACUGAAGCAAACCGAAUCGUA